CCUACGGGGGGCUGCAGUGGGGAAUAUUGGACAAUGGGGGCAACCCUGAUCCAGCCAUGCCGCGUGUGUGAAGAAGGCCCUCGGGUUGUAAAGCACUUUCAGUGAGGAAGAACGCCUGGUGGUUAAUACCCAUCAGGAAAGACAUCACACACAGAAGAAGCACCGGCUAACUCCGUGCCAGCAGCCGCGGUAAUACGGAGGGUGCGAGCGUUAAUCGGAAUUACUGGGCGUAAAGCGCGCGUAGGUGGCUUGAUAAGCCGGUUGUGAAAGCCCCGGGCUCAACCUGGGAACGGCAUCCGGAACUGUCAAGCUAGAGUGCAGGAGAGGAAGGUAGAAUUCCCGGUGUAGCGGUGAAAUGCGUAGAGAUCGGGAGGAAUACCAGUGGCGAAGGCGGCCUUCUGGACUGACACUGACACUGAGGUGCGAAAGCGUGGGUAGCAAACAGGAUUAGAUACCCGGGUAGUC
rnacentral:rRNA from 1 species